rnacentral:rRNA from 1 species
GGACCCGCACAAGCGGUGGAGCAUGUGGUUUAAUUCGAUGCAACGCGAAAAACCUUACCUACUCUUGACAUCCAGAGAAGCCAGCGGAGACGCAGGUGUGCCUUCGGGAGCUCUGAGACAGGUGCUGCAUGGUUGUCGUCAGCUCGUGCCGUGAGUGUCAGGUUAAGUCCAGUAACGAGCGCAACCCUUAUCCUUGUUUGCCAGCGAGUAAUGUCGGGAACUCCAGGGAGACUGCCGGUGAUAAACCGGAGGAAGGUGGGGACGACGUCAAGUCAUCAUGGCCCUUACGAGUAGGGCUACACACGUGCUACAAUGGCGCAUACAGAGGGCAGCAAGCUAGCGAUAGUGAG